CCUACGGGAGGCAGCAGUCGAGAAUCAUUCACAAUGGGGGAAACCCUGAUGGUGCGACGCCGCGUGGGGGAAUGAAGGUCUUCGGAUUGUAAACCCCUGUCAUGUUGGCGCAAAUUAAAAAGAUAGUACCACAAGAGGAAGAGACGUCUAACUCUGUGCCAGCAGCCGCGGUAAUACAGAGGGCGCAAGCGUUGUUCGGAAUCACUGGGCGUAAAGCGUGGGGAGGCUGUUUCGUAAGUCGUGAGUGAAAGGGGCGGGCUCAACCCGCGGACGGCAUAUGAUACUGCGAGACUAGAGUAAUGUACGGGGAACCGGAAUUCUCGGUGUAGCAGUGAAAUGCGUAGAUAUCGAGAGGAACACUCGUGGCGAAGGCGGGUUCCUGGACAUUAACUGACGCUGAGGCACGAAGGCCAGGGGAGCGAAAGGGAUUAGAUACCCUAGUAGUC
rnacentral:rRNA from 1 species